ACACAACUGAAGCAGUCAGAGACUUCAGUACAAAAUCUAGAGGAUGAGGUGACACGACUGAAAGAGGAACUUUCCGUCCAGCUAGAAAACAAUUCCACCUUGGACAAGCAGUUUGCAGAAGCUAGGAGCAAUCUGCAUGCUGAAAUUUCAGACCUACGUGCAGAGAAGGGCACAUCUCUACUGGAGUUACAGAUGUCUCAGGCUUCUGUCAGGAAUCUUGAGAUUUUGGUCGGAAAGCAAACUGAGAACAUUUCAACUCUACAGCAAGCUAAUGAAGAGUUACAAAAGAACAUCUACACUUUGACUGAGCAAUCACAACAGGUCAAGGUGGAGAUGCAAAGUGAUUUGAAGGCAAUACAAGAAGAGAAGAAUGCGGUGCUAUCACAACUGAAGCAGUCAGAAACUUCAGUACAAAAUCUUGAGAAUGAGGUGAUACGACUGAAAGAGGAGCUUUCUGUCCAGCUAGAAAACAAUUCCACCUUGGACAAGCAGUUUGAAGAAGCCAGGAGCAAUCUGCAUGCUGAAAUUUCAGAGCUACGUGCAGAUAAGAACACAUCUCUAUUGAAAUUACAGACGUCUCAGGAUUCUGUCAGGAAUCUUGAGAUUGUGGUUGAAAAGCAAACUGAGAACAUUUCAACUCUACAGCAAGCUAAUGAUGAGUUACAGAAGAACAUCUACACUUUGACGGAGCAAUCACAACGAGACAAGGCGGAGAUGCAGGAUGAGUUGAAGGCAAUACAAGAAGAUAAGGAUGCAGUGCUAACACAACUGAAGCAGUCAGAGACUUCAGUACAAAAUCUAGAGGAUGAGUUGACACGACUGAAAGAGGAGCUUUCCGUCCAGCUAGAAAACAAUUCCACCUUGGACAAGCAGUUUGCAGAAGCCAGGAGCAAUCUGCAUGCUGAAAUUUCAGACCUACAUACAGAGAAGGACACAUCUCUACGGGAAUUACAGACGUCUCAGGCUUGUGUCAGGAAUCUUGAGAUUGUGGUUGAAAAGCAAACUGAGAACAUUUCAACUCUACAGCAAGCUAAUGAUG
rnacentral:lncRNA from 1 species